GCUGGGAACGCGCGGCUUGGCCUCCUCGCGGCCGGUCCUGGCUGAGGAACCAGCAGCAAGUCCUUACAGGCCUUCCCUGCAGCACCUCCAGGGACUUAAACCUGGCCCUGCCACGUGGUUACCCUGAUCUGUCUGCCUGGAGAUGAGCAAAGGUCAGAGAGAGGGACCAGACCUCAGCAGACCAAACCAGCAGCCUCUCCUGAACCCCUACCCCCCAGCUCUUCCAGAAGUGCAACACGUCAUCAGCAUGCAGGCUUUCUGCUGGACCGAAAUGAAAAAGCUGAUCCUCAAAUUCAUAAUGGAAUUACAAGGAGACCUCCCAAUGCCUCAGUGUGUUUACCAGCCUGGAAGAUCUUUGAACCCCAUAAUUUAGAAAGGGUUUUAAUGGAAGCACCAUUACACAGACAUUAUUGAUUAAAUCAUUGACUAUUGGUGAUUAACUUAACCUCCAGACCUCCCUUCUUGCCUAGUGGGGCUGAACAUUCCAAAACCUGAUUAGGCCUUUCUGGCAACCUGGCUCCAUCCUGAAGCUAUCUAGGGGGACCCUGCCACCAGUCAUCUCAUUAGCAUAUGAAAUGCACUCAUCACUAUGGAGAUUUCAAGGGUUUUAGGAGCUUUGUGCCAGUACCUGGGGAAAGAGACCAAAUAUAUAUUUCUUAAUGUAUCACACUCCUCAACAAUAAAAAGGAGUAAACAUGUAAUAACAUGGAUGUUUCUAAAAAGUUCAUUUAAAAGGAGCUAAAUCAAAUAAGUGUAACCAUGUAAACGACUACAUGUUGUACUUGUCUAGUAAUACAGAGUUUCUAGGAAAGGCAAACAGAUCAGUGGUUGGGUAGGGCUGGGAGUGGGAGCAGGAUUGACUGCAGAAGGGCACAAAACCC